rnacentral:rRNA from 1 species
GAUGAACGCUAGCGGAGCGCCUAACACAUGCAAGUCGAACGGUCCUUCGGGACAGUGGCAGACGGGUGAGUAACACGUGCUUAAUUUGCCCCGGAGCGGGGAACAACUAUCGAAAGGUAGCUAAUUCCCCAUACGUCCCGCAAAAUGAAAUAUGCGGGAGAAAGGUUUACCACUCUGGGAGAAGGGCGCGGCCUAUUAGCUAGUUGGUGAGGUAACGGCUCACCAAGGCUUUGAUGGGUAGCUGGUCUGAGAGGAUGAUCAGCCACAAGGGAACUGAGACACGGUCCCUACCCCUACGGGGGGCAGCAGUGGGGGAAUAUUGGACAAUGGGCGAAAGCCUGAUCCAGCGACUCCGCGUGGAGGAUGACGCAUUACGGUGUGUAAACUCCUUUUUUGGGGGUAAGGACGACUGACGGUACCCCAACGAAUAAGAGACGGCUAACUAACGUGCCAGCAGCCGCGGUAAU